GGUAACGGAGGCGCGCAAAGGGUCCCUCCGCAUGGUUGGAAAUCCAUCAGACGGUGUCAAGGCAUAAGGGAGCUUGGCUGCGGGACCUACCAGUCGAGCAGGGUCGAAAAACGGACUUAGUGGUCCGGGGGUUCCGCCUGGGAGGGGCAACGCCCAACGGGUAAAAGCCCACCCGGGGGUAACAGGGUUAUCCCCCCCCACGGUUCA
rnacentral:rRNA from 1 species